rnacentral:rRNA from 1 species
AUUGAACGCUGGCGGCAUGCUUUACACAUGCAAGUCGAACGGUAACAGGCCUUCGGGCGCUGACGAGUGGCGAACGGGUGAGUAAUGCAUCGGAACGUGCCCAGUCGUGGGGGAUAACGCAGCGAAAGCUGUGCUAAUACCGCAUACGAACUAAGGAUGAAAGCGGGGGACCGUAAGGCCUCGCGCGAUUGGAGCGGCCGAUGUCAGAUUAGGUAGUAGGUGGGGUAAAGGCUCACCAAGCCAACGAUCUGUAGCUGGUCUGAGAGGACGACCAGCACACUGGAACUGAGACACGGUCCAGACUCCUACGGGGGGCAGCAGUGGGGAAUUUUGGACAAUGGGCGCAAGCCUGAUCCAGCAAUGCCGCGUGCAGGAAGAAGGCCUUCGGGUUGUAAACUGCUUUUGUACGGAACGAAACGGCGAGCUCUAAUACAGUUUGCUAAUGACGGUACCGUAAGAAUAAGCACCGGCUAACUACGUGCCAGCCGCCGCCGUAAUAC